GCUGCCGCCUUGCAGUUUGAUCUCAGACUGCUGUGCUAGCAAUCAGCGAGACUCCGUGGGCGUAGGACCCUCUGAGCCAGUCACCAAUGCUGCUCAUUGCAAUGUAUGGAGUGAAAGAGGCUGCCAUCGGUAUCCAGAAGAAGGUGUUACUUCGGUACCCAUACUCAUAAUCCAUAUGCUCCUGAAAUCAUGUGGAACAUGCAACUAGGACCUUCUGAACACGUAGCCUGAUUUACUUAUGAAGAAGCAAAUUCAACCAAGUGAUACGAAUUGUCUAAGGUCAUACAGUUAAUAACUUGUAAGAGCCCAGCACAGCACAGAUUUACAAAAUGAUACACAAAGACCUCAGAGGUGAGUCAAUGAUUUACCUCCCUACCUCCUCUUUAGUUGCUUUGUGCAACAAACAUUAAGGUUAAGUAAACUUGCAGAAUCUAUUUCUAAAACAAACUCUCCCAUGUCGUAUUUUUCAUUUUUUAAUUUAUUUUCUGUUUGGCCUCAUAUAUGCUUUCUAAAACAUACAGAG
rnacentral:lncRNA from 10 species